UAGGGAAUCUUCCGCAAUGGGCGAAAGCCUGACGGAGCAACGCCGCGUGAGUGAUGAAGGUCUUCGGAUCGUAAAACUCUGUUAUUAGGGAAGAACAAAUGUGUAAGUAACUAUGCACGUCUUGACGGUACCUAAUCAGAAAGCCACGGCUAACUACGUGCCAGCAGCCGCGGUAAUACGUAGGUGGCAAGCGUUAUCCGGAAUUAUUGGGCGUAAAGCGCGCGUAGGCGGUUUUUUAAGUCUGAUGUGAAAGCCCACGGCUCAACCGUGGAGGGUCAUUGGAAACUGGAAAACUUGAGUGCAGAAGAGGAAAGUGGAAUUCCAUGUGUAGCGGUGAAAUGCGCAGAGAUAUGGGGGAACACCAGUGGCGAAGGCGACUUUCUGGUCUGUAACUGACGCUGAUGUGCGAAGGCGUGGGGAUCAAACAGG
rnacentral:rRNA from 1 species